rnacentral:rRNA from 1 species
AACUAAUAAAUUUAAAUGUAUUCAAUGAAUAGCUAGGUUGUAAUCUCAAAAGCCGUUGUUGAAAACGAAACGCGGAGCGCCCCUAGGCCGUAAGUCCAAUGUGCAAUGGUGGUUUCGCUUGCUUAAGGAUAACCAAAAUUGCGGAAAAAUUUUUCCGCAAAAAAAAAAAUUAUGAAGUGAAACAUCUCAGUAAUAAUUCUGUUAUAAAUCAAAAAACGAGAAAGGCUAGUAGAGGUGAUUGAACGCCCAUGGCUGCAUAUUAUUUAUUUCACAUGAAGUGCGUGGGGGUAAACUUUAUUCCCGACGGACCGCGGUUGGUUGAAGUCCAGGCAGGUUUGAAUUACUUCGAAAACGUAGGUAAUUCUUGGUAUAAUAAAUAAUAUGGGCUAGUAGAAGAUGGUUCGAAAACCAUGUUCGAAGAUAAAAAGACCAUUUUUUAAAAUAAAAUAAAAAUUUUACAAACCGACAGUGCACACAGUACCGCGAGGGAACGCUGAAAAGAUAUCUUAGUAGGUAAGUAAAAUAGAUCUUGAAAUUGAAUACAAAAAGCAGUUAGUUAAUUUUUUUGAAAACUAACGUACCUUUUGCAUAAUGGGUUAGCUAGUUAAUUAGUUCAGCGAGUCUAAGGGAUUAACCAGGAGACGUAGUGAAAGCAAAUAGUAAGACAUAACUAGUAGUUGAACUAAUUAAACCCGAAACCAAGUGAGCUAGCCAUGACCAGGUGUAUGUUAUAAUUGUAAUGUAAGGCCGAACCCGUAUCUGUGGCAAAAGAUUGGGAUGAGUUGUGGUUAGGGGUGAAAGGCUUAUCAAACUUGGAUAUAGCUGGUUCUCUGCGAAAUUUAUUUAGGUAAAGUGUUAUUUUAUGCUUAGUCUGGUAAAGCUCUUUCUAAUGUAGGGGGUUACGAUCUACCGAAGUUAAUUAAAAUCAGAAUAGAUUAAGCAGAACAAUGACAAACAGGCAUAGAGCGCUAAGGUCCUAUGCCUAGAAGGAAAUAGCUUAGAAUUAGGGUUAAGGUCUUUAAAAAAAAUUAAGUGACAACAAACUGCUUGGCAAUUGUUAAUUAUUAAAAGGUGGGCUUAGAAGCAGCCAUCCUUUAAAGAAAGCGUCACAGCUCAUUAAUAAUUGUUAUUGCUAAUUGGUGACAAAUGUAGGAGUCUAGAAUUUUUUACCGAAACCUAAUUAAUUAUAUAAUUGGGUAGCAGAGCGCGGUGUUGUUUAACCAUUGAUAAAUUACUAUCACCGUUGAUAAUGCUAACAUGAGUAACAGCAGUAAUGUGAGAAUCAUUACUACCGAAAACCCAAGGUUUCCGCCGGCAAGGAUUUUCCUCCGCGGGUUAGGCGAUCCCUUAUUUUCUUAAUGUAAUUAUAAAAAAUGGGUAUGGUUCUAUACUAUCACCAGAAUAGUUUUACUCUGAUCAACAUUUAAUUUUUUGUAAAUUGAGCAAGGUUUAAUGUUUGAGUGGAUUAAAAAUAACCUAUUAAUAACCUAUCGUACCUAGACCGACACAGGUGGGUUAGUAAAGAAUACUAAGGUAAGUGAGUGAAUAAUUCUGAAGGAACUAGGCAAAUUGGCCCCGUACCUUUGGAACAAGGGGUACUCUGCGGAGUAGCAUUAGCCAGGAAGUGGCGACUGUUUAAUAAAAACACAAGAAUCUGCAAAGAUGAGAAUUGAGGUAAAGGUUCUGACACCUGCCCGGUGCUGGUAGGUGAAACUAAAUUACAGGGGAUUGGUUUUUCCUGGUUUGAUUUUUUUAAUAUGCAAAUUGUUUCAACUAUCUUUCCAAAGAGUUUAAGUUUUUUAGUAUUGUUUUGGUGGCAAUUGGGCCACAAAAUUGGUUAGAACCAUUGUAACCAGGGCAAUGCCCUAUAAUUUUCUAAGUCCCAGUAAACGGCGGCCGUAACCAUGACGGUCCUAAGGUAGCGAAAUUCCUUGUCAGGUAAGUUCUGACGUGCAUGAGUGGUGUAACGACUGCUUCACUGUCUCCAGUAUUAGCUCAGUGAAGUUGAAUUGUUUGUGUAGAUGCGAACAUGGAAUGGCGGGACGGAAAGACCCCAUGCACCUUAACUGCAUUUUUACAUUGUUUGACAAAGAAUUUGUGCAGCGUAAGUGUUGAUUCCUAGGAACUUUUUGCCCAAGCAAUUUAGGGAGGAACCAAUGAAACAUCACUCUUAUUUUUUUUCAAACUAAUUGCAUUGGCGUAGAUAGUGUAAAUUUGGUAGUUUGGCUGGGGCGGUCGUCUCCUAAAAAGUAACGGAGAUGCGCAAAGGUAAACUUCUAAUAAUUUUCCAAUUAUUGGAUUAGUGUAAUGGCAAAAGUUUGCUUAACUGUAAGACGGAUAAGUCAAACAGAAACGUAAGUUGGCCAUAGUGACCCGGUAGAACUAGAUGGACAGACUACCGAUUAUCGGAUAAAAGGUACGCUGGGGAUAACAGGCUGAUGGUCCCUGCGAGCACAGAUCAACGGGCCCGUUUGGCACCUCGAUGUCGACUCAUCACAUCCUGGAGCUGAAGUUGGUUCCAAGGGUUCGGCUGUUCGCCGAAUAAAGUGGUACGUGAGUUGGGUUUAAAACGUCGUGAGACAGUUUGGUCCCUAUCUACCAUUCCUGAUUUUUUUUUUGAAAAUUGAGAAAAUUUAAUCCUAUUACGAGAGGACCGGAGAAUAUUUACCGCUGGUGCAUCGGUUGUCAACAAGUUGGCAGGCCGAAUAGCUAAGUAAAUGAUCAUAACCACUGAUAAACUAAGUGGGAAAGAUAACUUCAAAAAAAUUUUCAUGGGGUCACAAGAGAAAAAUGUGAAAAGGAUGCAGAUGCGCUAACCGUAAGGUUAUGUCUAGCAUUACUAAAACCCCGUUUAACCUAGAUUU